rnacentral:rRNA from 1 species
AUUGAACGCUGGCGGCAGGCCUAACACAUGCAAGUCGAGCGGAUCGCCGGACGGGUGAGUAAUGCCUAGGAAUCGGCCUGUUAGUGGGGGAUAACGUCCAGAAAUGGGCGCUGAUACCGCAUCCUUUCACAUGCGCCUAGGUCGGAUUAGCAAGUUGGUGGGGUAAAGGCAUACCAAGGCGACGAUCCGUACCUGGUCUGAGAGGAUGAUCAGUCACACUGGAACUGAGACACGGUCCAGACUCCUACGGGAGGCAGCAGUGGGGAAUAUUGGACAAUGGGCGAAAGCCUGAUGCAGCCAUGCCGCGUGUGUGAAGAAGGCCUUCGGAUUGUAAAGUACUUUAAGCUGGGAGGCGUUACCAGCAGAAGAAGCACCGGCUAACUCCGUGCCAGCAGCCGCGGUAAUUC